rnacentral:lncRNA from 1 species
CCGCUGGGACUGUGCUUCGGUUCUUUUCUUUUCUUUCUUUCUUUCUUUCUUUCGGUUUUUUUUUUUCCUUUUUUUUUUUUUUUUUUUUUUUUCCCUUUCUUUCUUUUAAUUUAUUGAAAGAAAUCAGAGCUCGCCGCCGCAGUUAUUUUUCCACUACCAAAAGAAACGCAAAAACGAAACAAACGGCGCCGAGCUGUUCCCCCCCCCCCCGCGCCCGCAGCGCUCCCCGCGGCCCCCACGGACGUUUGUACGGACCCCUCUGUAUAUUUAAUGUAGCUUUUGUAUUUAAAUUGAUAAUACGGUAUCUUUGAAGUAAAUUAUGAAAUCGAGACACCUGUACAGGCAUUAAUGUUGUUUUCGUAAUAUAAAUAUAUACAUUUCUGUGUCUUUUUCCGAAUUGUUUCAUAGUUUUAAAAAAUAUAUAUAUACAAGUUUAAUUUAAUUUUUUAUGGCUAGUGGUUUUUUUCCCCCCGUUGGGAGUGCGCUAAACUAGAACGAAAAGAGGGGAAAAAAAGGGCAAAGAGGAACGGGUCCCACUUGUGGGGUACGGAGCUCGUCGGGAAAGGGGCGGGCGGCAGAACGCAGCCCCGCUCCUGCAGCCGCAGCCCCGCUCUGUUCCCGCAGCGGUUGCGGGGCCGAUCCCGCACGUAACCUCAUUACCCGCAAUCAGUGCCGCGUUUCACGCGAAGCGAUCCGCUGCUCAACUUCGCUAAUGAGUUCGAUUUUCUGCCAGAUUUCCCCUCGCUGCCGGUGCCCGGGGCCGCGGCCGGGGGGGGGGGGGGGGCACGGGGGGGGGGUGAGGGGGAGCAGCGCUCGGGGCCCCCUCCCGGGCCCGCGGUGCUUGCGGGCGGCGGCAGAAAAAGAGCGUUAAUCUGCCCCAUCUCGGGGCCCGAGGAUCGGAGCGGAGGAGACAUUCACUGCAAGCACGUAGGGGAAUAAGGGUCUCGCUUUAUUGAAUCAUCAAAUCCCAGGAACGAAGCUCUUAAUUAAUUAUGGGUGCUAAAAAUUCAGGCCAGCUGCUUCUUUUUACUCGCCUCUGACAGAGAAAGACAAAGUCUGCGGCGAGCUCCUCCGAGGCGCUCCGCAUAAAUCAGCGCUCCCGGCCCGCGGGGACAGAUGGCGCCUCGGCCCCGCGCCGCCCGCAUUCCUCCACCGCACCGCGGCGGUGCGGGAGCGACGGCCCGGCCCGGCCCUGUCCGACGGC